rnacentral:rRNA from 1 species
UACGUAGGUGGCGAGCGUUGUCCGGAAUUAUUGGGCGUAAAGAGCUCGUAGGCGGUUUGUCGCGUCGGGUGUGAAAAUCCAAGGCUCAACCUUGGACCUGCAUUCGAUACGGGCAGACUAGAGUUCGGUAGGGGGAGACUGGAAUUCCUGGUGUAGCGGUGAAAUGCGCAGAUAUCGGGAGGAACACCAGUAGCGAAGGCGGUUCUCUGGGCCGGCACUGACGCUGAGGAGCGAAAGCGUGGGGAGCAAACAGG